rnacentral:rRNA from 1 species
CGGUGUGAGUAAUGUCUGGGAAACUGCCUGAUGGAGUGGGAUAACUACUGGAAACGGUAGCUAAUACCGCAUAACGUCGCAAGACCAAAGAGGGGACCUUCGGGCCUCUUGCCAUCAGAUGUGCCCAGAUUGGAUUAGCUAGUAGGUGGGGUAACGGCUCACCUAGGCGACGAUCCCUAGCUGGUCUGAGAGGAUGACCAGCCACACUGGAACUGAGACACGGUCCAG